ACACCAGAGGCUGCCGGAGGCCAAAUCAGAACAGCACAAACUUUAAAACUCUCCAGAAAAAAGAAAAGUAGCAAAUGGGGCAGAGGACAUCUGCUCACACCACACCCAUCGAAGCCCAGGCUAGCCCCUUUCAAACCACAGAGACUCGGGGCAAGAGGAUGAUGAUGCAUUACUAGGAGAAAUUAUAAUGAUGGCGAGUUUGGAGAGAUGUACUUAACUGGGUGAGGAAGACGAUGUGCCAUCCACUAUGAAGGCAAGUCCAUCCUCUCUCUUAUCUUCUAAAACAACCUUUCAUGGUAUUUGAUUUUCCCUGAAAAUUGCAUAACUUUCUGGUAAGUUGGCUGGGACAAUCUCCACACACAUGAUCACAUCCUGAUUAAAGAAGCAGCUCUUACAAGGAUGUUUCUUUGUAGCCCUGGCUAUCCUGGAACUCCCUGUGUAGACCAGGCUGGCCUCAAGCUAAGAGAUCCACUUGCGUCUGCCACUCGAGUGCUGGGAUUAAAGGCGUGUGCCACCACUGCCUGGCUGCCAUUUUGUUCGUGUGUCUUCGUCUCGGCAAGAGGGGAGCUGUUCCGCAGAGAGUGUGCAUACAGACAGGGUGCUAGCAUCUGGAAGGGGUGCAAUAGAAGUUGACUCUGAGAGUGAGAAAAAGCCGGAAACUUGAGUCACGCGCAGCUGACAGGGGAUAAACACCUGUCAACACCACGGCGGUUUGGCAGACUGCCCUUCUCCUCUGGUCCGUGGCUUCCUGUCGCGCCCUCUACUGGUAAUGCCUAACAAAUUGCUCACUGUUAAAUCUGAUUUGCAGAAUCCCACAACAGCUUCUUCCAGUUUGGGGCUUCUGUCAGUCUUAUUUCUGUGGUCAUAUAGAGCACUAAUUCUAGAAAAAGGCUUAAUCUAGCUUCCUGCACAUGAUUUUUGGGCUUGAGUCUCUAUCAGGUAACUAGGAAUUAAGUUUGUGUACCCUGGAUGCACUUAACAAAUUGUGGUCCUUUAACUUCUCUGAGAUCGGCUGCAUAUGACAUUUAAAAUAUUUAA